UACAGGGGGUGCAAACGUUGCUCGGAAUUAUUGGGCGUAAAGCGCACGUAGGCGGCUUUUUAAGUCAGGGGUGAAAUCCUGGAGCUCAACUCCAGAACUGCCUUUGAUACUGAGAAGCUUGAGUUCGGGAGAGGUGAGUGGAACUGCGAGUGUAGAGGUGAAAUUCGUAGAUAUUCGCAAGAACACCAGUGGCGAAGGCGGCUCACUGGCCCGAUACUGACGCUGAGGUGCGAAAGCGUGGGGAGCAAACAGG
rnacentral:rRNA from 1 species